rnacentral:rRNA from 1 species
GACGAACGCUGGCGGCGUGCUUAACACAUGCAAGUCGAACGGAAAGGCCUGCUUUCCCUUGUGGGUUGCGGGUACUCGAGUGGCGAACGGGUGAGUAACACGUGAGUGAUCUGCCCCCAACUUGGGUAUAAGCCUGGGAAACUGGGUCUAAUUCCCGCUAGCACUGCAGGGUGGUGCCGGUGGUGGCGGAGGAUGUUCUAGUGGUUGGGGAUGAGCUCGCGGCCUAUCAGCUUGUUGGUGGGGUAAUGGCCUACCAAGGCUGCGACGGGUAGGCGGCCUGGGAGGGUGGACGGGCACAUGGGGACUGAGAUACGGCGCAUGAGCCGACGCGCGGCAGCCGUGGGGAGUAAGGAGCGAUGGGUGGAAGCCUGAGGCAGCGACGCCGCGGGGGGGAUGACGGGCGUCGGGUUGUAACCUCCUGGCGACCGCGAGGAAGCCACCUGGUUGGAAGGGGAGUGACGGUAGUGGGAGAAGAAGCACCGGCUAACUACGUG